CCUACGGGUGGCAGCAGUGGGGAAUAUUGGACAAUGGGGGGAACCCUGAUCCAGCCAUGCCGCGUGUGUGAAGAAGGCCCUCGGGUUGUAAAGCACUUUCAGUGAGGAAGAACGCCUGGUGGUUAAUACCCAUCAGGAAAGACAUCACUCACAGAAGAAGCACCGGCUAACUCCGUGCCAGCAGCCGCGGUAAUACGGAGGGUGCGAGCGUUAAUCGGAAUUACUGGGCGUAAAGCGCGCGUAGGUGGCUUGAUAAGCCGGUUGUGAAAGCCCCGGGCUCAACCUGGGAACGGCAUCCGGAACUGUCAAGCUAGAGUGCAGGAGAGGAAGGUAGAAUUCCCGGUGUAGCGGUGAAAUGCGUAGAGAUCGGGAGGAAUACCAGUGGCGAAGGCGGCCUUCUGGACUGACACUGACACUGAGGUGCGAAAGCGUGUGUAGCAAACAGGAUUAAUACCCCUGUAGUC
rnacentral:rRNA from 1 species